AAUGGCUCUUGAUCAGGCAAGAUACGCCUUUUUUACCACCAGGUUGUGAUCCUGGCUGUCGCGGGUUCGAGUCCCGUCAGCCA
rnacentral:tRNA from 1 species